CCAAGCUUUCCGAUGCCUUCCAACACACUGGACGUCUCGUCUCCGUCCGUGGUCGAACAGCCA
rnacentral:tRNA from 1 species